rnacentral:rRNA from 1 species
UACGUAGGCAGCGAGCGUUGUUCGGAGUUACUGGGCGUAAAGGGUGCGUAGGCGGUUUAUUAAGUCAGUGGUGAAAGCCCGGAGCUCAACUUCGGAACUGCCAUUGAUACUGAUAGACUUGAGUACAGAUGAAGUGGGCGGAAUGUGACAAGUAGCGGUGAAAUGCUUAGAUAUGUCACAGAACACCGAUUGCGAAGGCAGCUCACUAAAGUGUAACUGACGCUGAGGCACGAAAGCGUGGGGAUCAAACAGG